CCUCCAUUCAUGGCAGACGGGAGCGGAACACAUUGGUAACCUACCCCCAAGAGAGGGAUAAUCUUCCGAAAGGAAGGAUAAUACCUCAUGUGCUCAUAUUACAUAUGUUUUAUGAGUAAAACUCCGGUGCUUGGGGAGGGGCCUAUGUCCUAUCAGCUUGUUGGUGAGGUAAAAGCUCACCAAGGCUAUGACGGGUACCGGGUGUGAGAGCAUGACCCGGCUCAAUGGGACUGAGACACUGCCCAUACUCCUACGGGAGGCUGCAGUCAAGAAUCUUCCGCAAUGGCCGAAAGGCUGACGGAGCAACGCCGCGUGUAGGAAGGCGCCCCUUGGGGUGUAAACUACUUUUAUUAGGGAAGAACAAAUGACGGUACCUAAAGAAUAAGGGGCUGCUAACUUCGUGCCAGCAGCAGCGGUAAUACGAAGGCCCCAAGCGUUAUCCGGAAUUACUGGGCGUAAAGCGUCCGCAGGCUGUUUAGUAAGUAUGCUGUUAAAUCUCAGGGCUCAACCCUGAGGCCGCAACAUAAACUGCUAGACUAGAGGAUGGGAGAGGCACUUGGAAUUGUCGGUGUAGUAGUAAAAUGCAUUGAUAUCGACAGGAACACCAUAUGCGAAGGCAUAGUGCUGGAACACUCCUGACGCUCAUGGACGAAAGCGUGUGUAGCGAAUCGGAUUAGAUACCCGAGUAGUCCACGCCGUAAACGAUGUGCACUAGACAUUGGUAGUAUCGACCCUAUCAGUGUCGCUCAACCAAGCUAACGCGUUAAGUGCACCGCCUGGGGAGUACGGCCGCAAGGCUAAAACUCAAAGGAAUUGACGGGAACCCGCACAAGCGGUGGAGCAUGUGGUUUAAUUCGACGAUAAGCGAGGAACCUCACCAAGACUUGACAUCUAGCUGCAAGCCUGUAGAAAUACAAGCCGUCUUCGAGAGUGCUAGACAGGUGCUGCAUGGUUGUCGUCAGCUCGUGACGUGAGUUGUACGGUUAAGUCCGGUAACGAGCGCAACCCCUAUGCUAUGUUAUAUGUGUCAUAGCAGACUGCCUACGUAAGUAGGAGGAAGGUGGGGAUGACGUCAAAUCAGCAUGGCUCUUACGUCUUGGGCCACACACGUGCUACAAUGGCUAGGACAAUGCGUCGCCAACCCGCGAGGGGGAGCUAAUCGCAUCAAACCUAGUCUCAGUUCGGAUUGGAGUCUGCAAUUCGACUCCAUGAAGCUGGAAUCGCUAGUAACCGCGUAUCAGCCACGACGCGGUGAAUACGUUCUCGGGUUUUGUACACACCGCCCGUCACAUCAAGGGAGUCGAUGGCACCCGAAUGUCUGUGGAUGCAGGCAGAAGGUGAAAUCGAUGACAGGGAUGAAGUCGUAACAAGGCA
rnacentral:rRNA from 1 species